rnacentral:rRNA from 1 species
AGUGAACGCUGGCGGUAGGCCUAACACAUGCAAGUCGAACGGCAGCACAGUAAGAGCUUGCUCUUACGGGUGGCGAGUGGCGGACGGGUGAGGAAUACAUCGGAAUCUACUUUUUCGUGGGGGAUAACGUAGGGAAACUUACGCUAAUACCGCAUACGACCUACGGGUGAAAGCAGGGGAUCUUCGGACCUUGCGCGAUUGAAUGAGCCGAUGUCGGAUUAGCUAGUUGGCGGGGUAAAGGCCCACCAAGGCGACGAUCCGUAGCUGGUCUGAGGGGAUGAUCACCCAAAUGGGAACGGGGAGAAGGCCCAAACCCCAACGGGAGGACGGGGUGGGAAAAAUUGGAAAAGGGGCGGAGGCCUGAACCAGCAAUACCGGGUGGGUGAAAAAGGCCUUGGGGGUGUAAAGCCCUUUUGUGGGAAAAAAAAACAGGCAGGUUAAACCCCCGGUGUUUGGACGGAACCGAAGAAAUAAGAACCGGCAAACUGGGU